GUCGCCACCACCAAAGGGGAAUACCUGCUUGACGUCUAAGAUCCAAAGAGUUGAAACUCGCACAGAAGCCCAUCCUGGCGUCGUUCGGCAACGGGGAGGACGAGGAGGCUGCGGAGAAGGAGGAUGAGGAGGAGGAGGAGAAGGGGGAGCAUCCGUUCACGAGGAGCAUCCUAGAGACUGGCAUAAUCCCGGACGCCGCCAUGAUCUUCGCGUUAAAGAAGAAGCGUGAGCAGGCGCGCACGCAAGGUGGCGCCACCGCGCCCGACUUCGUGCCGCUGGACGGGAUGGAUAAGAGUGGCAAGGCUGCAGCGACAUCACGACUC